GAUCAUGGCUCAGGAUGAACGCUAGCUACAGGCUUAACACAUGCAAGUCGAGGGGAAACGAUAUUGGAAGCUUGCUUCCGAUAGGCGUCGACCGGCGCACGGGUGAGUAACGCGUAUCCAACCUGCCCGUCACUUGGGGAUAACCUUGCGAAAGUAAGACUAAUACCCGAUGAUAUCCCUAGAAGACAUCUGAAAGGGAUUAAAGAUUUAUCGGUGAUGGAUGGGGAUGCGUCUGAUUAGCUUGUUGGCGGGGUAACGGCCCACCAAGGCAACGAUCAGUAGGGGUUCUGAGAGGAAGGUCCCCCACAUUGGAACUGAGACACGGUCCAAACUCCUACGGGAGGCAGCAGUGAGGAAUAUUGGUCAAUGGGCGAGAGCCUGAACCAGCCAAGUAGCGUGCAGGACGACGGCCCUAUGGGUUGUAAACUGCUUUUAUAAGGGAAUAAAGUGAGUCUCGUGAGACUUUUUGCAUGUACCUUAUGAAUAAGGACCGGCUAAUUCCGUG
rnacentral:rRNA from 1 species